GUGAACGCUGGCGGUAGGCCUAACACAUGCAAGUCGAACGGCAGCACAGUAAGAGCUUGCUCUUACGGGUGGCGAGUGGCGGACGGGUGAGGAAUACAUCGGAAUCUACUUUUUCGUGGGGGAUAACGUAGGGAAACUUACGCUAAUACCGCAUACGACCUACGGGUGAAAGCAGGGGAUCUUCGGACCUUGCGCGAUUGAAUGAGCCGAUGUCGGAUUAGCUAGUUGGCGGGGGAAAGGCCCACCAAGGCGACGAUCCGUAGCGGUUCUGAGAGGAUGAGCAGCCACACUGCAACUGCGACACGGUCCAGACUCCUACUGGAGGCAGCAGUUGGGAAUAUUGUACAAAGGGCGCAAGCCUGAUCCAGCCAUGCCGCUUGAGUGAAGAAGGCCUUCGGUUUGUAAACCCCUUUUGUUGGGAAAGAAUAGACGCAGGUUCAAUCGCCUCUGUUCUGACGGUACCCAAUGAGUAAGCACCGGCUAACUUCGUG
rnacentral:rRNA from 1 species